CAAACUCACUCAUACAAAAACAAGAAGUGUUCAGUGACCUUUAUGACAAAAGUAUGUGUAAGCUAAACCCUGGAGGUGAUGAUAACAUAUCAGAAUGUAAUUUCAGUUGACCGCUGACUGAUGAUUAUGGACCACUGCAAAAAACAGAGGGCCCAGUCUCUAAACACACACUAAAACGCACCACACAAGCAACAGUCAACACAACUGCUAAGGGGGAGUUGGCCACUGCCAAGACUGAGUGACAAAUGGUUGAAACUAGCCACAACAAUGCAUUUCAGCAAUGUUACCUGAUAGUAGCUUGCCUAAAUUCGAAGACAGCCACAGCAGCAAACAAAUGGAAACUACAGGAGAGUUAGGAUUUUUGGCUCCCACUGGCGUGAUGUCACUGUGUACUGUGACCUGAAUUUGAGGCCAAAUCAACAGAGAGGACAACAACAGAAAGCAAACACAGGUUCCAAGACAGCUCAGGAGUGGCAUCGGUACAAGUCUCUGAAUGUACUUGAGUGGCUCAGCCAAAGUCCGAUCGAAGAUCUCUGGAGAGACCUGAAAAUAGUGGUGCAGCAACACUUCCCAUCCAACCUGACAGAGCUUUAGAGGAUCUGCAAAGAAGAAUGGGAGAAACUUCCCAAAUACAGGUGUGCCAAGCUAAUAGCAUAUCCAAGAAUACUCUAUGCUGUAAUCGCUGCCAAAGGUGAUUUCACAAAGUACUGAGCAAAGGGUCUGAAUACUUACGUAAAUGUGUUAUUUCAGUUUUUUUAUACAAAUUUGCA